rnacentral:rRNA from 1 species
AGAGUUUGAUCAUGGCUCAGGACGAACGCUGGCGGUGCGCUUAACACAUGCAAGUCGAACGGUGAACCGGGCUUCGGCCCGGGGAUCAGUGGCGAACGGGUGCGUAACACGUGGGCAACCUGCCCCUCACUCUGGGAUAACCCCGGGAAACCGGGGCUAAUACCGGAUACUCCGGCCGAACCGCAUGGUUCGAUCGGGAAAGGUCCGCCGGUGAGGGAUGGGCCCGCGGCCUAUCAGCUCGUUGGUGGGGUAACGGCCCACCAAGGCUGCGACGGGUAGCUGGUCUGAGAGGACGGCCAGCCACACUGGGACUGAGAUACGGCCCAGACUCCUACGGGAGGCAGCAGUGGGGAAUCUUGCGCAAUGGGCGAAAGCCUGACGCAGCGACACCGCGUGGGGGACGAAGGCCCUCGGGUUGUAAACCCCUUUCGACAGGGAAGAAGCGAUCUCGUGACGGUACCUGUAGAAGAAGCCCCGGCUAACUACGUGCCAGCAGCCGCGGUAAGACGUAGGGGGCGAGCGUUGUCCGGAUUCAUUGGGCGUAAAGCGCGCGUAGGCGGCUCGGUAAGUCGGUUGUGAAAUCCUGGGGCUCAACCCCAGGACUGCGUCCGAUACUGCCGGGCUAGAGGUAGGUAGGGGAGAUCGGAAUUCCUGGUGUAGCGGUGAAAUGCGCAGAUAUCAGGAGGAACACCGGUGGCGAAGGCGGAUCUCUGGGCCUUACCUGACGCUCAGGCGCGAAAGCUAGGGGAGCAAACAGGAUUAGAUACCCUGGUAGUCCUAGCCGUAAACGUUGGGUGCUAGGUGUGGGUGGACAUCGACCCCAUCCGUGCCGAAGCUAACGCAUUAAGCACCCCGCCUGGGGAGUACGGCCGCAAGGCUAAAACUCAAAGGAAUUGACGG